rnacentral:rRNA from 2 species
GCAAGUCGAACGAACUCUGGUAUUGAUUGGUGCUUGCAUCAUGAUUUACAUUUGAGUGAGUGGCGAACUGGUGAGUAACACGUGGGAAACCUGCCCAGAAGCGGGGGAUAACACCUGGAAACAGAUGCUAAUACCGCAUAACAACUUGGACCGCAUGGUCCGAGUUUGAAAGAUGGCUUCGGCUAUCACUUUUGGAUGGUCCCGCGGCGUAUUAGCUAGAUGGUGAGGUAACGGCUCACCAUGGCAAUGAUACGUAGCCGACCUGAGAGGGUAAUCGGCCACAUUGGGACUGAGACACGGCCCAAACUCCUACGGGAGGCAGCAGUAGGGAAUCUUCCACAAUGGACGAAAGUCUGAUGGAGCAACGCCGCGUGAGUGAAGAAGGGUUUCGGCUCGUAAAACUCUGUUGUUAAAGAAGAACAUAUCUGAGAGUAACUGUUCAGGUAUUGACGGUAUUUAACCAGAAAGCCACGGCUAACUACGUGCCAGCAGCCGCGGUAAUACGUAGGUGGCAAGCGUUGUCCGGAUUUAUUGGGCGUAAAGCGAGCGCAGGCGGUUUUUUAAGUCUGAUGUGAAAGCCUUCGGCUCAACCGAAGAAGUGCAUCGGAAACUGGGAAACUUGAGUGCAGAAGAGGACAGUGGAACUCCAUGUGUAGCGGUGAAAUGCGUAGAUAUAUGGAAGAACACCAGUGGCGAAGGCGGCUGUCUGGUCUGUAACUGACGCUGAGGCUCGAAAGUAUGGGUAGCAAACAGGAUUAGAUACCCUGGUAGUCCAUACCGUAAACGAUGAAUGCUAAGUGUUGGAGGGUUUCCGCCCUUCAGUGCUGCAGCUAACGCAUUAAGCAUUCCGCCUGGGGAGUACGGCCGCAAGGCUGAAACUCAAAGGAAUUGACGGGGGCCCGCACAAGCGGUGGAGCAUGUGGUUUAAUUCGAAGCUACGCGAAGAACCUUACCAGGUCUUGACAUACUAUGCAAAUCUAAGAGAUUAGACGUUCCCUUCGGGGACAUGGAUACAGGUGGUGCAUGGUUGUCGUCAGCUCGUGUCGUGAGAUGUUGGGUUAAGUCCCGCAACGAGCGCAACCCUUAUUAUCAGUUGCCAGCAUUAAGUUGGGCACUCUGGUGAGACUGCCGGUGACAAACCGGAGGAAGGUGGGGAUGACGUCAAAUCAUCAUGCCCCUUAUGACCUGGGCUACACACGUGCUACAAUGGAUGGUACAACGAGUUGCGAACUCGCGAGAGUAAGCUAAUCUCUUAAAGCCAUUCUCAGUUCGGAUUGUAGGCUGCAACUCGCCUACAUGAAGUCGGAAUCGCUAGUAAUCGCGGAUCAGCAUGCCGCGGUGAAUACGUUCCCGGGCCUUGUACACACCGCCCGUCACACCAUGAGAGUUUGUAACACCCAAAGUCGGUGGGGUAACCUUUUAGGAACCAGCCGCC